rnacentral:rRNA from 1 species
AGACGGGGGCCCGCACAAGCGGUGGAGCAUGUGGUUUAAUUCGAUGAUACGCGAAAACCUUACCUGGGCUUGAACUGUACAUGACAGGUGUAGAGAUACACCCUUCUUCGGACAUGUAUAGAGGUGCUGCAUGGUUGUCGUCAGCUCGUGUCGUGAGAUGUUGGGUUAAGUCCCGCAACGAGCGCAACCCUUACUCCUUGUUGCCAUCAGGUAAUGCUGAGCACUCUAGGGGAACUGCCGGUGACAAACCGGAGGAAGUGGGGAUGACGUCAAAUCAUCACGGCCCUUAUGUCCAGGGCUACACACGUGCUACAAUGGCCGGUACAAAGGGCAGCCACUUAGCGAUAAGGCGCGAAUCCCGUAAAACCUGUCUCAGUCCGGAUUGGAGUCUGCAACUCGACUCCAUGAAGUUGGAAUCGCUAGUAAUCGCAGAUCAGCACGCUGCGGUGAAUACGUUCCCGGGCCUU